AAUCUUUCACAAUGGAGGGAACUCUGAUGCAGCGACGUGGCGUGUAUGUUGAAGGCUUUCGUGUCGUAAAGUUCUGUCUUAUGGGAGGAUAAUGACGCUACCAAUGGAGGAAGCCCAGGCUAACGACGAGCGAGCAGCCGCGGUAAUACGUAGGGGGCGAACGUUGUCCGGAAUUAUUGGGCGUAAAGGGUACGCAGGCGGCCAAAUAAGUCAGAUGUGAAUUCCCAAGGCUUAACCUUGGUAAGCAUUUGAAACUGUAUGGCUUGAGUUAAGGAGAGGAAAGUGGAAUUCCUGGUGUAGCGGUGAAAUGCGUAGAUAUCAGGAGGAAUACCAGUGGCGAAGGCGACUUUCUGGACUUAAACUGACGCUGAGGUACGAAAGCGUGGGGAGCAAACA
rnacentral:rRNA from 1 species